UACGUAGGGGGCAAGCGUUGUCCGGAUUCAUUGGGCGUAAAGAGCGUGUAGGCGGCCAGGUAGGUCGGUUGUGAAGACUGGAGGCUCAACCUUCAGAGGUCGACCGAAACCAUCUGGCUAGAGUCCGGGAGAGGAGAGUGGAAUUCCUGGUGUAGCGGUGAAAUGCGUAGAUAUCAGGAGGAACACCGGUGGUGUAGACGGCUUUCUGGACCGUAACUGACGCUGAAACACGAAAGCGUGGGUAGCAAACAGG
rnacentral:rRNA from 1 species